GGGGGUGAAGCUCAGUGGUAGAGUGCAUGCCUAACAUGCAUAAGGUCCUGGGUUCAAUUCCCAGCACCACAU
rnacentral:tRNA from 1 species